rnacentral:rRNA from 1 species
AAGAAAGUAAGUAAGAGCGCAGGGUGGAUGCCUUGGCUCUCAGAGGCGAUGAAGGACGUGACAAGCUGCGAUAAGCCACGGGGAGGUGCAAAUAACCGAUGACCCGUGGAUUUCCGAAUGGGGCAACCCGGCACCGUGAAGCGGUGUCACUCCGUCUGUGACGGAGAGCGAACCCGGAGAACUGAAACAUCUAAGUACCCGGAGGAAAAGAAAACAAUAGUGAUUCCCUAAGUAGUGGCGAGCGAACGGGGAAUAGCCCAAACCAGUGUCGUUUCGGCGACACUGGGGUUGUAGGACUGCAAUAUGGAAUGAUCAUUCGAAGUAGAAUCUUCUGGAAAGUGGAACCAUAGAGGGUGAUAGUCCCGUACACGUAAGAAGGUUCAUUCCUAGCAGGAUCCUGAGUAGGGCGGGACACGAGAAAUCCUGUCUGAAUCUGCCAGGACCAUCUGGUAAGGCUAAAUACUCCUGAGAGACCGAUAGUGAACUAGUACCGUGAGGGAAAGGUGAAAAGAACCCCGAACAGGGGAGUGAAAUAGUACCUGAAACCUUGCGCUUACAAGCGGUCGGAGUCCCGUCUUUGGCGGGAUGACGGCGUGCCUUUUGCAUAAUGAGCCUACGAGUUGCUCCUCACUAGCAAGGUUAAGUCCUUCAGGGACGUAGCCGAAGCGAAAGCAAGUCUGAACAGGGCGUCUAGUUAGUGGGGGCAGACGCGAAACUUGGUGAUCUACCCAUGACCAGGUUGAAGCCCCGAUAACACGGGGUGGAGGACCGAACCAGUAGACGUUGAAAAGUCUUUGGAUGAGUUGUGGGUAGGGGUGAAAGGCCAAUCAAACUGAGAAAUAGCUCGUACUCCCCGAAAUGCAUUUAGGUGCAGCCUCGUGUUAAGUCUCAUAGAGGUAGAGCUACUGAUAAGGCUAGAGGGCUUCACCGCCUAUCAACCCUUGACAAACUCCGAAUGCUAUGAGAUGUUUCACGGGAGUGAGGCGUUGGGUGCUAAGGUCCGGCGCCAAAAGGGAAACAACCCAGACCAUCAGCUAAGGUCCCUAAAUAUAUGCUAAGUUGUUCAAACGUGGUGCGACUGCUUUGACAGCUAGGAUGUUGGCUUGGAAGCAGCCAUUCAUUUAAAGAGUGCGUAACAGCUCACUAGUCGAGCGGUCGUGCGUGGAUAAUAAUCGGGCAUGAAGCAUAUUACCGAAGCUAUGGUUCUUCCGCCUCUGGCGGGGGAAGGUAGGGGAGCAUUCCAGUUGUGCCGAAGCUGUGCCGUGAGGCAUGGUGGAACGGCUGGAAAAGAAAAUGUAGGCAUAAGUAACGAUAAAGCAGGCGAGAAACCUGCUCACCGUAAGACUAAGGUUUCCUGAUCAACGCUAAUCGGAUCAGGGUUAGUCGGGUCCUAAGGUGAAGCCGAAUGGCGUAGCCGAUGGAUAACAGGUUAAUAUUCCUGUACUGGCCAAUACUGCGAUGGGGUGACGGAGGAGUGAAAGGUCCGCGUACUGACGGAAUAGUACGUUGAAGGGUGUAGGUAUAUUCCCGGGUUAACAGCUCGGGGGUGCUGAACCUGAUAGUACCGUGAGCCUUCGGGCAAGCGGAUAGUGACCCUAAUCAGGCUUCCAAGAAAAACCUCUAAGCUUCAGGUAUUGGCUACCCGUACCGCAAACCGACACAGGUAGUCAGGGAGAGUAUCCUAAGGUGCUCGAGUGAUUCAUGGCUAAGGAACUAGGCAAAAUGGUCCUGUAACUUCGGAAUAAAGGACUCCCGCUUCUGGCGGGACGCAGAGAAAUGGCCCAGGCGACUGUUUAUCAAAAACACAAGGCUCUGCUAAAUCGAAAGAUGAUGUAUAGGGUCUGACACCUGCCCGGUGCUGGAAGGUUAAGAGGGGGGGUUAUCCCUGACAACUCGUUGGGGAGAAGCUCUGAAUCGAAGCCCCAGUAAACGGCGGCCGUAACUAUAACGGUCCUAAGGUAGCGAAAUUCCUUGUCGGGUAAGUUCCGACCUGCACGAAUGGUGUAACGAUCUGGGCACUGUCUCAGCCAUGAGCUCGGUGAAAUUGUAGU